GACGAACGCUGGCGGCGUGCUUAACACAUGCAAGUCGAACGGAAAGGCCCUGCUUGUGUGGGGUGAUCGAGUGGCGAAAGGGUGCGUAACACGUGUGUAACCUGCUCUAGACUUUGGGAUAACUUCAGGAAACUGGGGCUAAUACCGGAUAGGAGCCCCUGCUGCAUGGUGGGGGUUGGAAAGUUUCGGCGGUUGGGGAUGGAUUGGCGGCUUAUCAGCUUGUUGGUUGGGUAGUGGCUGACCAAGGCUUUGGCGGGUAGCCGGCAUGAGAGGGUGGCCGGCCACAAUGGGACUGAGAUACGGCCCAGACUCCUACGGGAGGCAGCAGGGGGGAAUAUUGCACAGUGGGCGGAAGCCUGAUGCAGCAACGCCGGGGUCGGGAUGACGGCCUUCGGGUUGUAAACCGCUUUCGCUUGUGACGAAGCGUGAGUGACGGUAAUGGGUAAAGAAGCACCGGCUAACUACGUG
rnacentral:rRNA from 1 species